rnacentral:lncRNA from 1 species
AAUGAAACAUCAAUAUCUUCUUAUAUUACUUAAAAAAAUAGAUAUUUAGUCAAAAUUAGUAUAAUAUUUAAUUUUGAAAUAGCUAUUAAUAAAGAUAAAAAGUUUAAAGACUAUUAAAACUAUACUAAGGACAAAAAAGAUAUUAAUAAGAGUGAAAGAGGCUUCAUUCUUGAUUCUAUAUAUAUUAUUUAAUUAAGGACUAUGUUGCAAUAAUCUAUAGGAUCUUUGACACUUGUCUAACUUGCAAAAUACAUGUCAAAUUCAUAAGACAAUUUUUCUAUGCGAGCUAUAUGAUAAACUUCUACUAGAAGUGGCCAAGUUUUUAACCUACCAAUCAUCUAUAAACACAUAUAAAGUCAAACCGCAUUUAUGAAGCUUCAAAGAAGCUAUUUCAUAAGCUAUUAUCAAAUCUAUUUACUUCUAUUUACUUCUAUUUAAUUCCUUUAAUCUAGAUAAAUAUACAUGUACGUAACAAUCAUAUUUCAAGUAGAUUUCAAUACCUUUGCUCCUGUAGUCUUCAAGUUCUUUAAGGCUAAAAACAAAACUAUUGCAAAACAAGCAAAUAAAACUUUUUUAUGCUUCAAAACUAGUAAGUUUUAGUUAUAAAUCUAAGGACCAAUUGUCAAACUCUGUAUUCUCUUUUUUCAUUAAUAGAGCACCACUAUAUGCCAAUACAACUUUUAACUACUAAUUUGUAGAAAGAACAACUUUUCUACCCCUUAUAUUAUAAUCUUAAAUAAUUGGAAGUUGAAAUGAAAAUCAAACCAAUUUUCUUAUUUUUUAUCUUUCAUUUUAAAAUUAUAUUUAUUUAUUUUAUUAUUAUUUGAUUUUAAUCAAAGUUCAUCUAUUGACGAAAUUUCAUCCUUAAAUAACCACAAAAGUUGUGCUUAACCACCAGAUUCAAAAAGUGCCAACGGGAUCACGCAUCCAUCAACAAGCAAUCACUCUGACUUGGUACAUAUCAAGACAACUAGAAGCCACAGAACCACUGCUAUCGAGGUUCACAUUUCUCGAGGUAAUAGCUGUAGAAUUUUAAUACCAGCACGUACGGAGACUAGAAGGCAACUGAACCAAUGGCGACUUCUUCCCCAUGGUGGUUAAGCGGUAGUUCCAAAAGAUAUCUGCACACCGUUACAAAGACACCAACGCCCGAACGUCGCUGCACCAGCUCACAAUAUCGCUCAAAAACUCUGCGCUAUCUUUGCUGCUAAAUAAAAAAAAAAGAAAAAAAAGAACCACGAUGGUCUUCUCUGCUAUCGAACCAACUCGUAGCACACAAUACCAAGAUUCCCUCUUGCCCAUCGCGGUAGAACGAUAAGAUAAGACGCUGCAGUAUAUCAAUAAUCCUGAACAGAAGAAUUGACGCCAGAGAGGGUCGACACUACUUGGAACCAACAACUUCAACCGCCAUCUGCCAAAACCUUGCUAGAAUCGUUGGACACACUAAAUGAAUGAACAAGGAGGGAGUGCCGUACAAGGGAAUGAAAUAAAGAACCAGCACGCCCACCUCACGGUGCCUCCAGAUCUGAUGCC